rnacentral:lncRNA from 1 species
UUUCUUUUAGAAGACAUUGAAUUUUACAUUGAACUGCAUAAUCUCUUAAUUUGCUAUCCUUUUGCCCUUAGGAAAGUGAUGCAAAAAAUUGAUGCAUUUGAUCCUGUGAGAGGUUUUCAGCUUUCAGGGUUCUGUGAAGGAAGACUACAGUGCUGAGGUGGCAAUACUUCUACAGGCUCUGUGGUGGAGUGAAUGGAGAAGAAAACAAUCAAAUUUCCAAGGAAGAUAUCUUUGGAAAACUCACUCUAUUGGCAAGAAUAUACUGUGGAAUAUGUCAUCAUGGGUAUUCCACACCCAUAUUCCCCUUCUCCAUUUCCCACUUUACAUAUGAAGAACCUGAGAUAUCUGAAAACCUCCUCCUAACAACAAGUAUUUGUAUGAAAAAAAUUAGGAACUUGAUAUUUAGCUUGUUGAAGUCUGGUGGGAAAUGCAAGAAGAUGAAGCAAUAUCUCACAGCUGUGGAAAGAGGAUCACAGGUGAAGCUAAGUGUUCCUAACAUCAUGCAAAGUAGUCUGAGGAGAAGAGAGAGUUUUGAAAACAUGCAUUUAUGACUCUUUGAAGCUGUGAUAACCACUUGGAGCCCUGGCAGUGUAUCGUCGAUGACCUUUUCUCGUGAGCACUCAUAAUUGCA